AUGCAGGCAACAAAUGUGGCAAAUGAUGAUUACAUAUAUGAGUCACAAGAAUAUGAAACCCAAUAUGAUGAUGACAGUCUUGAUGUGGACGAUGAGGGCUUUAUUGUCAAGGGAAGAAGUGGAAAUUAUACCACCGCGGAGGAUGUGUUGAUAUGCACCGCUUGGAAGAAAAUCUCUCAAGAUGCAAGCGUUGGAAGCGACCAAACGGUGAGCACCUAUUGGAAACGCAUCAAGGAGUAUUUCGAUGAGCGCAACACAAGUGGUAUCUUCCGUUCGAGCGACUCUCUACGCCAACGUUGGUCCACCAUCAACGCCGAAUGCUCAAAGUGGGUUGGUUGCUUGUCAAACGUUGCUCACAUGAACCCAAGUGGUUGCGAUGAUCGUACCACGGUUCACAACACCGGUGGUGUUGAUGACGCGCAUGAGUAA
rnacentral:rRNA from 1 species